rnacentral:rRNA from 1 species
UGCGAGUCAUAUGUUCUUCGUGAACAUGGCGUACUGCUCAGUAACACGUGGAUAACCUGCCCUUGGGACCGGGGUAACCCCGGGAAACUGGGGAUAAUACCGGAUAACGCAUAUCUGCUGGAAUGCUUUAUGCGUAAAAUGGAUUUGUCUGCCCAAGGAUGGGUCUGCGGCCUAUCAGGUAGUAGUGGGUGUAAUGUACCUACUAGCCUACGACGGGUACGGGUUGUGAGAGCAAGAGCCCGGAGAUGGAUUCUGAGACAUGAAUCCAGGCCCUACGGGGCGCAGCAGGCGCGAAAACUUUACAAUGCGGGAAACCGUGAUAAGGGGACACCGAGUGCCAGCAUCAUAUGUUGGCUGUCCAGAUGUGUAAAAUACAUCUGUUAGCAAGGGCCGGGCAAGACCGGUGCCAGCCGCCGCGGUAACACCGGCGGCCCGAGUGGUGAUCGUGAUUAUUGGGUCUAAAGGGUCCGUAGCCGGUUUGGUCAGUCCUCCGGGAAAUCUGACGGCUCAACCGUUAGGCUUUCGGUGGAUACUGCCAGACUUGGAACCGGGAGAGGUAAGAGGUACUACAGGGGUAGGAGUGAAAUCUUGUAAUCCCUGUGAGACCACCUGUGGCGA